UUUAAUCCUUCAACUUGCAAUUGUUCUUGGAUUUUUACAUCCUCUUUUUCCCCCGGGGAGUCAAUCUCAGCCAAAUUUUCAUUUACACCGGUUAACUCUAAUUCCAUGUUUUUCUUUGCAUCACUAAUACUCAUGGAGUCUUUUGGCGGAUGUUCAAUUCUUGAAUCCUCAAAGUAAAGCUCACUUUCUUCCUCGGAAU
rnacentral:lncRNA from 1 species